rnacentral:sRNA from 1 species
AAACUGCUGCUCAACAGCUCGUCGCCGGGUAAGGACCACCACGAUAUGAUUCCCACUGUAAUACUGGAGUUAUUAAUUGAGCACGUUACCGUUAUUCCCCUUUCCCAUCUUCAUAACCACAAUUGUGUUUUGAAUAAUUGUCCGAAGGAGAGCUAGCUUUUCCUUCGUUGAAUCUCCACAGACCCUUUUUCCAACUUUCUCAAAUAGAGAAAAGAAAAUAGAAAAAGAAAAAAGAAAAAGAAAAACCAAUUAACAUUAAAAGUUAGAUACAAAGGUGCCCAGGCCCUACGGCGACAUAGCACGUCCGGCCACCUGAAGACCACUACGAGUAACGUUGCCGGCCCGUUGUUGAGGAAUCGCCUACAAUAAUGGCCGGGGCGCCAGAUUGGCGGGUUCAGGGGCCAGGAGAAGUUGUAAGCGUUUUUUUAGUUUUCUCUUCUUUUCUUUUCCUUUCCUUUCCUUUCCUUUCUUUUCUUUGCCCCUUGUUUUGCGGGGGAAACUCUUGUUUUACUAUUGAGAUGCUGU